rnacentral:rRNA from 1 species
UACGUAGGGGGCAAGCGUUGUCCGGAAUUAUUGGGCGUAAAGCGCGUGUAGGCGGCUCGGUAAGUCUGCUGUGAAAGUCCAAGGCUCAACCUUGGAAAGCCGGUGGAUACUGUCGAGCUCGAGUCCGGAAGAGGCGAGUGGAAUUCCUGGUGUAGCGGUGAAAUGCGCAGAUAUCAGGAGGAACACCGGUGGCGAAGGCGGGUCUCUGGGCCGAUGACUGACGCUGGAGGAGCGAAAGCGUGGGGAGCGAACAGG